UGUCAGGCAACCGGGCAGCGUAUUAACUAUGCCAAGUCUUCUAUCUAUUUUAGCAAGGGUGUUCCGGAGUCGGUCAGGCAAGAGAUCAAAGAGACGCUCAAUGUUCCCAACGAAACACUAAAUGAAAAGUACUUGAGAAUGCCUUCAGACAUAGGGAGUUCGAAGAAUGGGGCUUUUAAAUACCUCAAAGACCGACUUUGGAGCAAGGUACAGGGUUGGAUUGAGCGCACCAUGUCUUCUGCUGGUAAGGAAGUUCUUGUCAAAUCUGUGGCUCAGGCAGUCCCGGUCUUCUCCAUGUCUUGUUUCAAACUCCCAAGAGGUUUAUGUGAACAUCUGAAUAUGCUAAUUCGAAAAUUCUGGUGGGGGACAAAGGAUGGAAAACGGAAACCGCACUGGGUCUCUUGGAAAACAAUGACACAACAAAAGGUAUGGGAGGUCUUGGUUUCAAAGAUUUCGAGCUUUUUAAUCUUUCCAUGUUGGCAAGGCAAGCAUGGCGACUGUUGCAGCAUCCGGAAUCUCUAA
rnacentral:rRNA from 1 species